rnacentral:rRNA from 1 species
CAACCAAAUAAAACUUGGUAAUUCAAAGGCAUGUCGCCUCAUGCCAAGGAGAAUCCAAUUCAUUGUGUAUUGCAUUGCGGAACACACCUAAUAGUUAUUAAUUAUUGAACUUCAUAGUGAAAAUACAUCUUCGUUAAGUAAAAAAAGGAAUACAAAUCAGAACAAUCGAAUUACGAUGGACCUACGGGGCCGGUAAUGGCACUCUGAAAUCAUCUCAAACACUUAUGUAUCUCCAAAUUCACAUAGAUAGAUAUCUAAUUAGUUCAGAUACAUGGAUUAAACUCCAGUGCAUACAGCCAGAAUCACUGGACCUCCGCAUGGCAAAGAUCUUCCGGAUCACAAAUCACAAAAUUGCAAAGUUUAUGCUGCCAUCUUGUAUCCAUAACAUUUGUUAUCCCAUCUUUUUUCAUGGCCGAUGACCCACAUCUGUGGAGUAAUAAAACCGAUGCCAUCCGCAUUGGUAGGCUGGCUCUGAUGUACGCUUAUGACCUGGGCCACUACGUUCGUCUAUAUAGACCCUUUUAUUGCACCGGCCUCCUAUCGCAUACUCCGCAGAUGAUUCUGAAGCCUCUGCCUCUGCUGAACCAUCAUCAUCUGCGGAGUAUGCACCCCACCCCAUAAUUGCAGAGGAGGGCCAGAGAACUCAGACGGAGCCAUCCGCUGUAUUUCUCACAGCUGCACGCCUGUACAGCAUGAUCUUGCUUUCACAGCGUAAUAUGUUGUUCUAGUGAAAACAAGGAGGGGAUAACUGCUCCUGAAUCCACCUUCAGUUCUGCCCCUCAACACCCUGCUUAUGUACAGAGCAUGCUGAAGUCUCACGCCCCUACAGUUCAAAACUUAAACUGAUAGUAACUGUGCAGGACGUGCUGUAUAGCCGAUAGUGGCUUAGAUGUGGACCGAGUAAUUAGGAGAUAAGCGUGACGCCGGCUGAAUCGUGUGGCCGUGUCAAAGAGGUUGUUACUCGUGGCCAUGCUACCAGCUAGUGGCCAUACUACAAUAACAAUCGAGCAGACAAUAUGAUAUUUUACUUCAAGAGUUCCCACACAUAUAGUUUUUGUAUGUCAAGAAUACAGAGAUACCGAGUGCUGAUGUGUACAUGAAUUUAACCCAUUCGCUAGCUGAAAGGAAAAUUAUCUUGCAUAUAUUUUAGAAGUGUUUGAAGUUCAAAUAAAAGGCAAACUGUACCACACCACAUUAAAGCGUACUAUCUAAAAUAUAUCACAUGCACUAAAAUAUUUGAAAUAUCUUUCAACAAAUUUGUUUGAAACAAAUGCUCCAAGAAAUAUUUUCAGCCAUUGUUUAGAUCAUACCUAGUGUUGUGGAAACCCUACCGGUGUAAGGCUCAAAUCAUCAAAUAUCAUCUAGUCCAACACAUGGAUAAAAUUAGGCUGUCCAUUUGUAGCAGCAAGGUGGACCACCAGUUCCUCUACAUGCUUAUACUUCUGUCAAUCAAAAAGGAAAGUCUACCACUGUACAUGUAAUACGGCAGAGUGUCAACGAUCUAGAAAUGGGUAUAACGAUCAUAUUCAGAAGAAACUUAAAAGAACAUAAUCAGAUUAUUUUUUUACACAUUGGUAACAUUUAUUUGGGAUUGAUUUAGCACCAGAGAAAUUUAACAUGAUGGGUGGGCAUUACUCUAAACAUAUAAAAUCAAGAGGCAGCAAGAGUGCAAUCCGAAUAUCUUUAGAAUAUAUCAGUAAAAAUUCCAACCAUUUAUAAAACAUGUCAAUAAAAAUUGCAAGGCUUGCAAGACAUCCUGGAUAAGCUGUGGAAGCUCUCAUUCCAUGACCAGAAAAUAAGACUGUCUUAUUAUAGGAUUAAGGUAAUAAAUGGCAUCAAAUACUUUGUUAAGAAUAUAUCAUGUGAUAGGAUUACGGUAAUAAAUGGCAUCAAUUACUUUGAUAACCACAUGGAACAAAAGGCGUAUAACUGCAUACCUGGUUGGCUGUCUGUCCCUUUUCAGUACAGUAUUAGUGUGCUCCAACCCAUAAAUCGUUCUUAAGCUCUUCAAAGACACCUCUUAUGUAGUACUCAAGAGAAUAAAAUAAGUCAAAAAUAACAGAUAAAACAAAUACACGGGUAUAGAAGCGGUCAAGAAUUUGUAGGAUCAUAGCGCUCUCAUGCCCUGUCUGCUUGCUCUUCAAAAGAGAACAUGUCAUUGAAGAGCGCCACAUGUCGAGAAUUUUUUCAAGUACCUCGUGGGCAACAACAACAACAAUAAGUCGUGAAAAAUUAAUCAUGUGUAACACACGUCUCAAGCAUUGACCAAGGGAGAUUCACACGGUAUAAAAAAUAAAACAACUGUUGAAAAAAAUGUGUACUAAAUGUUGUGAUGACAUUCAAAUUGUAUUUUCAAAACCAAGGCACCAUUGUGGUCAUGAUGCUGCAGAGCAAGACGCCCUCGAUUUCUCACGGGCCUAUAUGGCAGGAGACCUUGGUGAGCGUGUAUCCCGACAAUGCCAUCCCGCGUCCUGAUGACUACGACAAAGAAUUCAUUCCAGAAGUAUACCUAGCAGUUACUGUAUGGUGGCUAGGUGACUGCCCCGCCACCCCGUCCACUGUUGAGGCUGUCUCUUUUUAUAGGGGGGGCUGGCCCUAGCUGCGUCAGUGAAAACUAAAGUGACUUAUGAAUUUUAUUUUAUUUCUACCAAUCUACUCCCUCCGUUUCAAAAUAAUUGUCUUUCUAGAGAUUUCAACAAAUGACUACAUACGGAGCAAAAUGAGUGAAUCUACACUCUAAAACAUGUCUACAUACAUCCGUAUGUUGUAUUCCAUUUGAGAUGGCUAGAAAGACAAUUAUUUCGGAAUGGAGGGAGUAUAUAGCAAGCUUUUGUUGGGUUCAGACAAAUAGAAGGUUCAGAUGAAUAGACAGUGCCUAACUGGCCAGACGUCUGAACCUCUCUAGGUGCAAAUUGCAGCACACAAACAAGCAUGAUUCUCGGAUAGGUUUUCAAUUGUCAGACUUCUCCAUCUUAAAAAAAUCUGGUAUGUGUGAUCAAUACUGAAUAUAAGGUAAUCCAGGCCUCCUUUUGAAGUGAGUUAGCUUCUAAAUCUAGAUGAAGAGGUUGGCCGGGAUACAAGCUAGCCACUAUAUGAUUCAUUCAAUGCCAAGCACAUGCCAAGCAAGGCUCAAUUGCCAUCAAAUAAUUUGUGGAGGAUUCAGUCAAUGCCAAGCAAGGCUCGUUCUGAGUGACGUCAGCAUGUCUCUUUUCUGAUGACCCCUGGCUCCCGGCACCGCCACUGUGCAAUCCACCGGCAACGGACAAACAACACAUGCACAUGCCAGCAAAGAAACCACGCCAUACCUCCCGGAACUGGAACCACAUUUUGAUUUUUAUGUUUGAAUUGAAAGAUUAUUCAUGCCCAUAGAGAACUGGGUUUUCUUAUUUAUAUUUAAGCACUCAGAGAAGUAAGAAGCAUGCAAUGCAGAUGUUUUAGUGGGUGGAAGAGGAUAAAAGAAUAGAAUAAAGUUCUGAUGAUUCAGUGUUAAAUAACCAGUCCAUCCAUUGGAUAGUUUCACUGAGCCUUUGGCUUUGAUAAUGAGAAAGAAGUACCUAGUUAUUUAUAGCAGAUGUCCACCUGCGAGUCCUUUUUAUGGGGUUAACAUCACUACAAGAAACAC